rnacentral:lncRNA from 1 species
CUGAGCACUCAGCAUACUUAUUGAAAAGAUCCUUCAGAGCCUCGACAGAUGUUAAUUUUCCUUUACAAAAUAUCAUUACAUCAUCAGCAUACAUAAUGUGAGAUGGAAUGUUGUGAAGUCUGGAGCUGUUAAUCAAACUGAGUUUUCCUUGUUCCACUAGUGAAGUAAUGGACCUACUAAGAACAUCCUCUGCAAUGCAAAAUAAAAGAGGGGAGAGGGGGUCACCUUGUCUAACCCCUCUACUGCAGUGAAAAUAUCCAUGCUGGGAACCAUUGAUGGAAAUUGAAAGAGUAGCAGAUUCUAAGAUUACCUUGAUCCAGUUGCAGAAUUUUUCAUUGAAG